rnacentral:rRNA from 1 species
CUUGACAUACAUAAGAGGUCCAGCCUGCCCAGUGACUAAGUUCAACGGCCGCGGUAUCCUAACCGUGCGAAGGUAGCGUAAUCACUUGUUCUUUAAAUGAGGACUAGUAUGAAUGGCACCACGAGGGUUAUACUGUCUCCUUUUUUUAAUCAAUGAAACUGAUCUCCCCGUGAAGAAGCGGGGAUAAAUUUAUAAGACGAGAAGACCCUAUGGAGCUUUAAACAAUUAUAGCACUGGCCCACACCUCUUAUUCUUCUGAGAUAUAAUUAUUAUACAGGCCAACAUGACUAUUAGUUUUAGGUUGGGGUGACCGCGGAGCAAAAAUUAACCUCCACGUUGAACGGAGCUACUCCUGAGCUAAAAACUACAACUUUAAGCACCAAUAAACUGACAUCAAUUGACCCAAUAUAUUGAACAACGAAC